ACGAACUCUGGUAUUGAUUGGUGCUUGCAUCAUGAUUUACAUUUGAGUGAGUGGCGAACUGGUGAGUAACACGUGGGAAACCUGCCCAGAAGCGGGGGAUAACACCUGGAAACAGAUGCUAAUACCGCAUAACAACUUGGACCGCAUGGUCCGAGNUUGAAAGAUGGCUUCGGCUAUCACUUNUGGAUGGUCCCGCGGCGUAUUAGCUAGAUGGUGAGGUAACGGCUCACCAUGGCAAUGAUACGUAGCCGACCUGAGAGGGUAAUCGGCCACAUUGGGACUGAGACACGGCCCAAACUCCUACGGGAGGCAGCAGUAGGGAAUCUUCCACAAUGGACGAAAGUCUGAUGGAGCAACGCCGCGUGAGUGAAGAAGGGUUUCGGCUCGUAAAACUCUGUUGUUAAAGAAGAACAUAUCUGAGAGUAACUGUUCAGGUAUUGACGGUAUUUAACCAGAAAGCCACGGCUAACUACGUGCCAGCAGCCGCGGUAAUACGUAGGUGGCAAGCGUUGUCCGGAUUUAUUGGGCGUAAAGCGAGCGCAGGCGGUUUUUUAAGUCUGAUGUGAAAGCCUUCGGCUCAACCGAAGAAGUGCAUCGGAAACUGGGAAACUUGAGUGCAGAAGAGGACAGUGGAACUCCAUGUGUAGCGGUGAAAUGCGUAGAUAUAUGGAAGAACACCAGUGGCGAAGGCGGCUGUCUGGUCUGUAACUGACGCUGAGGCUCGAAAGUAUGGGUAGCAAACAGGAUUAGAUACCCUGGUAGUCCAUACCGUAAACGAUGAAUGCUAAGUGUUGGAGGGUUUCCGCCCUUCAGUGCUGCAGCUAACGCAUUAAGCAUUCCGCCUGGGGAGUACGGCCGCAAGGCUGAAACUCAAAGGAAUUGACGGGGGCCCGCACAAGCGGUGGAGCAUGUGGUUUAAUUCGAAGCUACGCGAAGAACCUUACCAGGUCUUGACUA
rnacentral:rRNA from 2 species